AAGCAUUCUGUUGUUUUGAUGAGAUCUUCGGUACUGAUGGUCAACAAGGGGCAGAGCGGAGCACUAGGUUUGGGCGCAGUAAUCUAGAUAGAUUUUAAAACAUUCCAGCGUUCUACAUGAAAGUUUCCUAAUUGUAAAACAUGCUCUAACUCGGCUUACAGCUUGACUCUUAGUUUAGGUAACUCACCCCAACUAUUCCAAUCUCGUGGAACGCUAAUUGCUACAGAAAACACUCUAGCUGUUGUGUUUUGAUUGCUGCUGCAGUUAUUUAUUUAAUUCCAUAUUUAUAUAUUUUUCAUUUGUUUUGUAUUUCUAUUCUGUUUCAUUCUGUCAAUAUUUAUGAGAGUUUUUUAUUUGUUACCCGCAGGUAAAAUGAAUUUCAAAAUGGUUUGUUUUUUGGGAAACCCAUAGAUUGUGGCUUUCGUGGUGGGUCUGGUUUAUUACUUUACCCUGAUUAAUGUAAGAAACAUAGCCCACUUAUACUUUCAAAUAAUACAUUUUCUGAGAAUAAACAUUUUUGUUCCAGGAUUUUCUAUAUUCUAUAUUUUUGUCGAUGUUUAUGUACCCAUCUCGAUCUGUGUCAUUGAUGAACUGAAAAAUAAUCCAUGUUAAAAAGUAAAUGUAUUUUUUUUGAAGGGAAGGGGGGUUAAUUUAUUUUAUAUUCAUUUAUAGAUGUUUAUAUACAAUGAGUUGAUAACAUUAUUCUAACAUUUAGACCAACUUUGACAAAAUAAUGGAUUCACUAUAUUGCAAAUUUAAACUUGCUUUAGUUCACUAAUUGUUUUCACUGGAUCCUAGAAACGUGUUGAACAUAUUUAUUGAAAAGAAAAUAAACAAUUCUGUUCUGUUCCUCCAUUUAUUGAAGGCAGAGCGGAUAGCGUGUAAAUUAGCCAAAUUAGUGUUCCCACUUCAUCGGAAUACAAUACACUCUGAAAAUGAACCUUCAUGGAGGCAGAGGUGAAAGAGAUUUAUAGAUUCUAUUUAGAGGGCAGCAGUACAAGUUACCGUAAUUGUAAUUCACAUAAUUGCUAAUUCAAGAGAUUUGUUUGGUGCUGUUUAUAAAACACUAGAUAAUUACACAGCAGAUGUGAAUGUCUAAUGGAACAGGAGUAUUCUAAUUGGAUGCACAAAUGGCACACACCUACGCAGUCAAGGAACAGCACGCUACAGAGCUGCAACUCCUGCAAACUGCAAAUACAGUCAUCCUGAGAAGGCUGGGGCCAACGCAUACCAUCCUGGCAUGAUCGUGAUCCUGGUGUGACGUGUGCCCAAUGCAUUCCAUCCUGGUAUGACCUCUUGGCCUUUGAAUAUCAUCCUGGGAUGACUGUGCCCAACGCAUAUUAUCCUGGUGUGACUGUGCCCAAUGUGCCAUCCUGGUGUGACUGUGCCCAACACAUGCCAUUGUGGUGUGACUGGGACAAACACAUACUGUCCUGGUGUGAUUGAUCAAUGGAUGCUGUAGCGGACCACAGGUAACCCGACCGGUUACCACCGCUAUUUCCUUCCUUCAGCCCCUCAGGAACCCUUAGAACAGACAGACAGCCAUUCUCCCAGUAACUGGACGACACACAACUGGCGGUACAAUACGAUUUUAUUAUGCCACACUGUGCCUUUAUGCAUAGCCCCAUGCAAGGGGUCCACUUCACAAACACACAGGUGUUGUAUCCCAAGAUCCUCUACACCUGGGAUCCAAAGCGUGGGAAAGGGGUCGCAGUCCCUUUGUCUCCCAGGUCUAGAAAGCCCGCCACUCACGUGAGGGGUCUCCCACCCAGGACGACAGGGGAGGGGUCUUCAUCCCAGGAUCACUUGGGUCUGGGAGCCAAAGCGCAGGAGAGAAA
rnacentral:lncRNA from 1 species